GAUCCUGGGCCCCGUACAGGUCCGGACUGCCCACAUUCAGCAGGCACACUCUUUGCUCUAUAUCUACUAUCACAAGGCCGGCCUCGUUUCCCCCAUAAGAACUAUUUAUGGUUAAAGCGGUAAUGUGACUCGGUGGUUCGCCGUUGUUCCACGGCGUCAGACAAACUAGUUGCGCUUGAAAUCCUGCAGGCUUCUUCUGAGCGCCAGUCCGCACUUUCAAGGUGCAACCUUCCUGAAAGCGCCAGUAAACUUUAUUAGCUGAUUUCCAGCCUCGGCAGGACGCACCCUUUUGUUCUCCAAAUCCAGCAGAUCCAGCUUGUUGCCGGAGCCGGCGCUGCCUGGUCCAGAAAACUGGCAAUCUGGCGAUAUUUCGUCUUCAAUCACUUCGUAUACUAUGGGGAUUUCCAAUACCAUCACCUAGAAGGACUGAUGGGUUAGCCUCCAACCAGCAGGGGGGAAAAGAAGGACGCAGUUUCCCCACCCGGUGAAGAGCAUCACAUGACUGGAGGCUCCAGCAACGCACAGUUUCCUCGACUCCGGACACAGUGAGAUCAAAUUGAUGGCAAACGGA